rnacentral:rRNA from 1 species
ACGGGUGAGUAACACGUGGGCAACCUGCCCUUGAGACUGGGAUAACUUCGGGAAACCGGAGCUAAUACCGGAUAAUAUAAGGAACCUCCUGGUUCCUUGUUGAAAGAUGGUUUCGGCUAUCACUUAAGGAUGGGCCCGCGGCGCAUUAGCUAGUUGGUGAGGUAACGGCUCACCAAGGCGACGAUGCGUAGCCGACCUGAGAGGGUGAUCGGCCACACUGGGACUGAGACACGGCCCAGACUCCUACGGGAGGCAGCAGUAGGGAAUCUUCCACAAUGGACGAAAGUCUGAUGGAGCAACGCCGCGUGGGUGAUGAAGGCCUUCGGGUCGUAAAGCUCUGUUGUUAGGGAAGAACAAGUGCGAGAGUAACUGCUCGCACCUUGACGGUACCUAACCAGAAAGCCACGGCUAACUACGUGCCAGCAGCCGCGGUAAUACGUAGGUGGCAAGCGUUAUCCGGAAUUAUUGGGCGUAAAGCGCGCGCAGGUGGUUUCUUAAGUCUGAUGUGAAAGCCCACGGCUCAACCGUGGAGGGUCAUUGGAAACUGGGGAACUUGAGUGCAGAAGAGGAAAGUGGAAUUCCAAGUG